UAUUAAUUAGUGUACUGAAUGGUAAAUGACACUUCAAGCAUUUCCGAGAAGUUUAAGAAUGUGUUGUUACCAUUCAGAACACUAAUUAAUAACAACGCAUACAUUUCAUUCAAAACAGAAAAUACAAAAUAAAAACCAAAUCAUACCCCGAAAGCACCAUCUCCGACAACCAAGCAGCUAGUAGAUAUUGACUCCUUGUUAAUCGUAGAAAAUACUUCUCGCAAAAGAACUAGAGGUUCUCCCACUUCGCCUAGUUGCCUCUUCGCUUCGUAGAAGCCACUUUGAAGCCUUACUUCUCGGAGAUGCUUGAAGUUUCCAAUCUUAAACUUCGCAAAAACCGAUUCUUUUAUAUCAAGAACAUCUAGUUGUGGGGCAUCGAUUUCAACUUCAUAGAAGUUUCCAGCAGUAAGGUAACACUUCUUGUCCUCUAUCAAGCUGUAGCUUAUGAAGAUGCAGUUGAAUUUUUAGUCACUUUUUUUAGCAGCUUUUAGCAUAUUCUUCUGGUUGGUUGUUCAUGCCAUACUUGCUCGCACACCUUCCUAAUUUAUAGAGAUUGGAUCUCGAAUUGGUAGAUAUGGAAGAUGUUCGAAAGGGCAAGAAAUUUGAUUGGAAUCCCCUAAAAUAUUAUGUGGGAUGGUGUUUGACAAGCGUUAAACACGUUUGAUUGGAUUUGGUGAAAUAAUGGAAGAAGCCGGUAUAAUAUUAGCUUUUGUGAGGGGAACUGCUACCGAAGAACACUUUGGAAAAAUAAGCAUCACCAAUGAAUAAUUACCACAUGUGAUUCCAAUGUAUAGAAGAUGAUGCAGACUUGAUUUACAUGGCCUAAGAAAGUACACAGGAGAACUGAUCAUGAGGAAACACAAAUCUAUAUUGAUUGUACCAGUAUUUCAGACAAAUGGCACGACUGACAACUCUCACAUCAUUGAGGUGGUACAGCCAGCUGUAACGUUGGAGCAUAAUAAGAGUCUAAACAGCCCCUUUUCUAGGGAGGGAUGAGGUUGAAGGUGCCUUGAAUCAAAUGUUCCUUACCAAUUCGCCGGGAGUAGAUGGAAUGCGUGCUUUGUUUUAUCAGAAUUACUGGGAUAUAGUGGGUGAUGAUGUAGUGGCUUUCUAUCUAACUAUUCUAAAUGGGGGAGCCAGUGUGAAGGAAGUGAACCACACACUCCUGACUCUCAUCCCGAAGGUGCACAGGCCAGCGAAGAUUGAAGCCGAUCAUGCCUUUUAUUAUUUCCGAAUAUCAGAGUGUCUUUGUUCCUGGAAGGCUUAUCACUGAUAACAUUAUAGCGGCUUUUGAGAGUAUCCAUGCUAUGAAACGGCGGGGUGGAAGUAAGCUGAAGAAGAUGAUCCUCAAGCUUGAUAUGUCAAAAGCGUAUGACCGGGUAGAAUGAGAUUUUUUAGAAGCUAUGUUGAGCAGAUUGGGUUUUAAUGCCAGAUGGGUUAACAUGAUUAUGGAUUGUAUUUCUACAGUUUCUUAUUCAGUUCAGGUGAAUGGAGAACCUACGGGUAUGAUUGUGCCAACAAGGGGUUUGCGCCAGGGAGAUCCACUAUCCCCUUGUUCCUGAUUUGUGCUGAAGGGUUUAUUGGCGCUGCUGUCAAAUGCCCUCAGAUUGAAAUGUAUUAAGGGGGUUUCUGUGGUGCAGGGAGCUCCCAUUCUCUCCCAUUUAUUUUUAGCUGAUGACAGUUUACUUUUCUA